GAUGAACGCUGGCGGCGUGCCUAAUACAUGCAAGUCGAGCGAACGGACGAGAAGCUUGCUUCUCUGAUGUUAGCGGCGGACGGGUGAGUAACACGUGGAUAACCUACCUAUAAGACUGGGAUAACUUCGGGAAACCGGAGCUAAUACCGGAUAAUAUUUUGAACCGCAUGGUUCACAAGUGAAAGACGGUCUUUCUGUCACUUAUAGAUGGAUCCGCGCUGCAUUAGCUAGUUGGUAAGGUAACGGCUUACCAAGGCAACGAUGCAUAGCCGACCUGAGAGGGUGAUCGGCCACACUGGAACUGAGACACGGUCCAGACUCCUACGGGAGGCAGCAGUAGGGAAUCGUCCGCAAUGGGCGAAAGCCUGACGGAGCAACGCCGCGUGAGUGAUGAAGGUCAUCGGAUCGUAAAACUCUGUUAUGAGGGAAGAAAAUAUGAGUAAGUAACAGUGCAGAUAGUGACGGUAACGAAUCAGAAAGCCACGGCUAACUACGUG
rnacentral:rRNA from 1 species